rnacentral:rRNA from 1 species
GGACCCAGGCCCUAUGGGCGCAGCAGGCGAGAAACCUUUGCAAUGUGCGAAAGCACGACAAGGUUAAUCCGAGUGUCUCCUGGUAAAGGAGUCUUUUGUCAGUUGUAGAAUCACUGGUGAAUAAGGGGUGGGCAAGUUCUGGUGUCAGCCGCCGCGGUAAAACCAGCACCUCGAGUGGUCAGGAGGUUUAUUGGGCCUAAAGCAUCCGUAGCCGGUUGCAUAAGUUUUCGGUUAAAUCUAUGCGCUUAACGUAUAGGCCGCCGAAAAUACUGUGCAGCUAGGGAGUGGGAGAGGUACACGGUACUCGAUAGGAAGGGGUAAAAUCCUUUGAUCUAUUGAAGACCACCUGUGGCGAAGGCGGUGUACCAGAACACGUUCGACGGUGAGGGAUGAAAGCUGGGGGAGCAAGCCGGAUUAGAUACCCGGGUAGUCCCAGCUGUAAACGAUGCAGACUCGGUGAUGCAUUGGCUUGUGGCCAAUGCAGUGCCGCAGGGAAGCCGUUAAGUCUGCCGCCUGGGAAGUACGUACGCAAGUAUGAACUUAAAGGAAUUGGCGGGGGAGCACCACAAGGGGUGAAGCCUGCGGUCAA